AGGCGGUGGGCGGUGGAAAGAGGGGGCGGCAUAUUUGGUGAUGGAGGUGGGGAAAGGCGGUGGACGGUGGAGAGAAAGGGGGCGAUGGAGUUCGCCGGACAUGGAGGAGGGGGAAGAGAAUUGGUUUUUUAUUUUAUUUUUUUGUUUUUUUUUGUUCUAUUUUUUUUCCAAGUUGUCAAUUUUUNCAUAGAGAAAGAGAACAAUUGAGAGAAGAGGGAGACAAUCAAGGGGGAGGCGAAGCCGACCGGAGGAAUGGGCGGUCGCUCGCCCGAAUUUCAGAGGCGGUGGCGCUACUCUAAUGGGCGGAAAAACGCGAGAGGGAGAGAGAGGAGGGGAGGCGGAUCCACGGGGUGGUGGGGAAAGGCGGUGGGCGGUGGAAAGAGGGGGCGGCAUAUUUGGUGAUGGAGGUGGGGAAAGGCGGUGGACGGUGGAGAGAAAGGGGGCGAUGGAGUUCGCCGGACAUGGAGGAGGGGGAAGAGAAUGGUUUUUUAUUUUAUUUUUUUGUUUUUUUUUUGUUCUAUUUUUUUUCCAAGUGUCAAUUUUUUACUCCAAAUAGGCGCCAUGUCAGCUUGAUAUUACCAUGUAGGUGACAAGUCAGCCCGAAGCUUCACCUGAAAAAAAAAUGUGGAAAAAUUGUUCAACCCCUUAAAUUCAAGGAAAUCCUGAUAAAAAAAAAGUUUAUGGAAAGUUUGGAAAUUGAGGUAUAGUUCAUGGCUUUUGGCGUAAUUAACCCAAUAAUUUAUAAAAUAUUUCGCGAGUUUGAU
rnacentral:lncRNA from 1 species